GAAAGCAAGGGAGGGAAGCAACUGAGAGGCUACUAGAGAAUCAGAAAAAGAGCAAGCGUGAAGAAGGCAGACUUGCGAGUGUCGGGGGAAUGCAUCUGCCUGUUUCUUAAUACUCGGUGGGCUGAGCAGUAGCAGGUUUUCCCUACAGCAGAGACUACAGACUUCAAACACUUUUUCCCAGCCGCCCCUGAAGCUAGGUUCUGGAUGUGAUUUAAGUUCUGCUGAUCCAUUCUGUCUGUGCAAGCCUUGAAUUUGCAACCGAGCCAGAGCAGAUCCUGGUCUCUUCUGAAGAACCUCGCCCAAUACUGUGGGGUGGCAGAAGGUAGUGGUAACCUCUGGAGGCAUGGGAGACACUACUCACAGACCUCAUGGCAGGGUUACCUGCUCAGUCUCUCAACGUGCUUAAAUCCGUCUCAGCAAGAAAGAACUCUUGCCACUUCACGAGGGUUGCUGGAGCAAGGAAAAAUAUGGUAGGAGGAUCAUACACGACCCCUUAAUUGUUUCAAGAAUACCCAAAUAAGUUUUAGAGUGAGAGACUGAAAUGUUUAACAAAGCCCACAAGGCCCAUACAGUGUGGUUUCUACGUGUUUCAUGAGCCUGGUGGACUCUGCCCUCACUUUCUCUUGUCUAAUCAAGCUGGCCUUCUCUUCUUCAGAUUCACAACUCCCUUCUCUCCCUCAGGACCCCAGUUGGGAAUAUUCUUUAACUGGUAACUCCUGCUUGUUGGUAAUCAACCCUCCCUUUAGACCUCAGGAUGUCCAUGUAAUGUGCUCUCCUGGCAUGUUCUAUCUCCCUUUGUAAUAUGAGUCACAGCCAGAGUUAAAUCUGAUUUAUAUAAAUCAAAAAUAAAUGCCUGCUUUGUAGACAGGAAAAUCCAGAGAGCAGAGACUGCCGUGUGCGCUGGCAUAUUCCCAGUGUCUAACAGUGCUUUGCACAUGCAUGGUGCUCAGUAAGUGUGGCUUCAGUGAAUGCACUCCAUCUUCCUGUUCCAGCUAUGCUGCAUCUCUAUCUGAAUACCUGAUCCUAUGAUUGUUGCAGCAAAGGAAGACAGCUUAGAGACUUGGCUACCGGUUCUUAAACACUUCUGCUGGAGAAUGACAUGCAUCACUUCCAUGAAUAUUUCAUUGACCAAAGCAAGUCACACGGCCACCUACAUUCACAGGGGUGAUCGAGGAAGGGGAGGAGGCUGCAAAUACUGGUCUGCUGCCACCCUCUACCCAAGAAGUGGAUCUGAACAUUAAGGUUAGGAUGGAGAAAGUAUUGGUUGUUCUAUAACUCAUGACUUGAGUUUUACUUCAUAAAGCAAGUACAUUGUAUUCUUUGUUCUAAGGCAUAUUUCCCCCAUUUCAGUUUUAUUGUCAUGUUCUCUACUGGCUAGUCUUAUCUUGGCAGUCCUAAGCUUAGGGCUUUACCAGAAAUCUCCCUACAAAAAUGAACUUUAGGUCAAUAGCGGAAUUUGCUUACUCAAGCUGGCUCAUCAUCUAUUCACUGCCUUAAUGAGGACAAGCAGAUUUAGUCCCUUUGUUACACGUGAACCCUGGAUGUUCUGUUGUUCUCAUUCAUUUGCCUUGAAACUAGCUGCUCUUGGAGCUUUGCAGAAUGGGGCUGCAUCAACAAUCAACCACAGAUUUAUUGAAUAUCUGUUACCCAUAAUUCCUCUACCUGGUAUUGAUAGGUUCAAAGAAACACAAUUCAUGACUUGUCCUCAAAGAACUAACUCUCCAGCUGAAGAUACAAGAUGUAAAAGAUAUAACCUCCCAAACUAUUACCUAAAUUCAUAGCUGUGUAUGUUUAAAUACAGAAUCGGUAGUCGGGCAAUGGAAGAAUUUCAGAGACCAGAGACUUCCACUUAAGUGGUGUGGCAGUCAGGGUCUCUGGAGGGUGUGGAAGGUGAGCUGGGCUUGGGAGAUGGGGUGUGGGUCUUCCUCCUAGGCCUGGGCUUCUCUAGGGAGAGUCUGGGAGAGGAAAAGGAGGAACAAGAUCCGCAACAGCUGUGGAGGAGAGCGCACCCACCGUCAGUGGAUGUGAGGAGAUGCUGCCGGAGUGGCGGGGAGAAAUACUGAAAGCAGGGCACUGAGCCCAACGGUGACCUCCCCUUGAUCCAGUCAUCUUAGGUAUGACUUUGAGUCUUUCCAGGUCACAAUUGCACCUGGGAUUCCAGAAAUUCUACAUCUUCUAGGAAGUCCAGCAUUUGGAUUAAUUCCAGAAUCCUACUCCAUGUCAGAGAUCUUUGUGUCCUGGCAUCCUCUAAGCCCACAGUUUGCUCCAGGCAUAGCUGUGAGAGCCAGGCAUGUGCAGCCCUAACUUGACAGAGAAGCCCUGCUUCUCUGCCCUGCCACCACCUGGAGGGAUGCUGGAGGGAGCUGCUCAGACACUCUACUGUGGCCACAAGCCUGGAAGUGCCAGGGAGUUCACACCCGUGGACAAACUCUGGCCAGCCAAGGGGAACUUGGGAGUGUGCAGCAGAUACAUGCUCCCCUCUCCUAUCCCUUGGGCUGACAAUUGGGAAGGUGUUUUACAUUUUCUCAGGGGGUCCUCAGAGGGGCGUGAACCACCAUGGACCGUGGGAGUAGCUUCCUCUUUAACACACUCCGGACUGGCUUUUCUUCCUUUUCUGUUUCACAAUUCCGGGUCCCCAGAUAAGCAAGUCCGCAUGCCCAAGUUAGCACACAUCCCCAACCAAAGAAAACUGUUUAAACUUCUUUACUUCUUCAUUAAACAUUUACUCCUUUGCUUUAGGGUUACUAAUAAAAAAAGAAAAAUUUAAAAAUGCUAACCCUCCUACACUGCUGGUGGGAAUGUAGUUUGGCACACCCAUUAUGGAAAAU